GACGAACGCUGGCGGCGUGCUUAACACAUGCAAGUCGAACGGAAAGGCCUGCUUUCCCUUGUGGAUUGCGGGUACUCGAGUGGCGAACGGGUGAGUAACACGUGAGUGAUCUGCCCCCAACUUGGGUAUAAGCCUGGGAAACUGGGUCUAAUUCCCGAUAGGACUGCAGGGUGGUGCCUGUGGUGGAAAACGAUGUUCUAGUGGUUGGGGAUGAGCUCGCGGCCUAUCAGCUUGUUGGUGGGGUAAUGGCCUACCAAGGCGGCGACGGGUAGCCGGCCUGAGAGGGUGGACGGCCUCAUUGAGACUGAGAUACGGCCCAGACUCCUACGGGAGGCAGCAGUUGGGAAUAUUGCACGAUGGGCGGAAGCCUGAUGCAGCGACGCCGCGUGGGGGAUGACGGCCUUCGGGUUGUAAACUCCUUUCGACCGCGAGGAAGCCACCUGGUUGGAAGGGUGGUGACGGUAGUGGUAGAAGAAGCACCGGCUAACUACGUG
rnacentral:rRNA from 1 species